GCAGUCAGAGCGGUGAUGGCGGCGGCUGUGGCUACCGCGGCACUGGCGGCCCCGGCGCCGGCGGCCCGCGCGGAAGGCGCCUCCUCAGUGCACUGGUUCCGCAAGGGGCUGCGGCUCCAUGAUAACCCGGCGCUGCAGGCGGCCGUGCGCGGGGCGCACUGUAUGCGCUGCGUUUACAUCCUCGACCCUUGGUUCGCGGCCUCCUCCUCAGUCGGGAUCAACCGAUGGAGGUUCCUACUUCAGUCUCUGGAAGAUUUGGACACAAGUUUAAGGAAACUGAACUCCCGCCUGUUUGUAGUCCGGGGACAGCCGGCUGACGUGUUCCCAAGGCUGUUCAAGGAAUGGGGGGUGACCCGCUUGACCUUUGAAUAUGACUCUGAACCCUUUGGGAAAGAACGGGACGCAGCCAUCAUGAAGAUGGCCAAGGAGGCUGGUGUGGAGGUGGUGACUGAGAACUCUCAUACUCUCUAUGACCUGGACAAGAUUAUUGAGCUGAACGGGCAGAAGCCGCCCCUUACCUACAAGCGCUUUCAGGCCAUCAUCAGCCGCAUGGAGCUGCCCAAGAAGCCCGUGGGCUCUGUGACCAGCCAGCAGAUGGAGGGCUGCAGGGCCGAGAUCCAGGAGAACCACGAUGAGACCUAUGGCGUGCCCUCCCUGGAGGAGCUGGGAUUCCCCACUGAAGGACUCGGCCCAGCUGUUUGGCAAGGAGGAGAGACGGAAGCUCUGGCCCGCCUGGAUAAGCACCUGGAACGGAAGGCCUGGGUUGCCAACUAUGAGAGACCCCGCAUGAAUGCCAACUCCCUGCUGGCCAGCCCCACGGGCCUCAGCCCCUACCUGCGCUUCGGCUGCCUCUCCUGCCGCCUCUUCUACUACCGCCUGUGGGACCUAUACAAAAAGGUGAAGCGGAGCAGCACACCCCCGCUCUCCCUGUUUGGGCAACUCCUGUGGCGAGAGUUCUUUUACACGGCGGCCACCAACAACCCCAGGUUUGACCGCAUGGAGGGGAACCCCAUCUGCAUCCAGAUCCCCUGGGAUCGCAACCCCGAGGCCCUGGCCAAGUGGGCCGAGGGCAAGACAGGCUUCCCUUGGAUUGACGCCAUCAUGACCCAACUGAGGCAGGAGGGCUGGAUCCACCAUCUGGCCCGGCACGCUGUGGCCUGCUUCCUCACGCGCGGGGACCUCUGGGUCAGCUGGGAGAGCGGGGUCCGGGUGUUCGAUGAGCUACUCCUGGACGCAGACUUCAGCGUGAACGCGGGCAGCUGGAUGUGGCUGUCCUGCAGUGCUUUCUUCCAACAGUUCUUCCACUGCUACUGCCCGGUGGGCUUUGGCCGCCGCACGGACCCCAGUGGGGACUACAUCAGGCGAUACCUGCCCAAAUUGAAAGGGUUCCCCUCUCGAUACAUCUAUGAGCCCUGGAAUGCCCCAGAGUCGAUUCAGAAGGCAGCCAAGUGCAUCAUUGGUGUGGACUACCCACGGCCCCUCGUCAACCAUGCCGAGACCAGCCGGCUCAACAUUGAGCGGAUGAAGCAGAUUUACCAGCAGCUCUCCCGCUACCGGGGACUCUGUCUGCUGGCGUCUGUCCCUUCCUGUAUGGAAGACCUCAGCAACCCAGUGGCAGAGCCCAGCUCGAGCCAGGUUGGGAGCAUGAACAGUGCAGGCCCGAGGCCACUGCCCAGUGGCCCAGCGUCCCCCAAACGCAAGCUGGGAGCAGCGGAGGAGCCACCUGGUGAAGAACUCAGCAAACGGGCCAGGGUGGCAGGGUUGCCCCCCUCAGAGCUGCCGAGCAAGGAUGUCUGAGACAGCCGCUGUGCCUUGAUUCAGAAACUGCCCUUGUCAUAUCUGAGCAAGCGUUACCCAAGGCCUCAGCUGCAGUGCCGUGACUCUGUGAGCAAAGCCUGGGUGCCCGAGCAGCCACCGUGGCAGCAGAGUGCAACCUGCAGAACAGCUGAUCACCUCCAGAGAUGGAGCAAGCGUGUGCGUGUGUGUGCGCGUGUGCCGAGGAAGGAGUGGCCCGCCUGUUUGCGUGUGCAUGCGUCUGUUUACACUCCUGUGGUUCCGAACACUGCCUGGGCUGGAGGAGUACCUGUAGCAGCUUACCUCAGCCUCUGGACACCAGGCUAGAGGUCAUGGCCGUGACUUUCACCCCAGACCUGUCCCUGUGAGCCAGCUGCCUUGUCUGAAUAGAAGAGUGGUGGGACCUUAGCUGGGAUCCUGGCAUCUGCCCCCCAACCCUCCCUCCCUCCCUCCCUCCCUCCUCACGUCAGACUGCCGAGCAGGGGGGAAGCAUUUCUGGCUCUUGUCCAGAGUGUGGGAUUCUAGAGGCAGCUAGGGUUCUGCUGAGUUCCUGGGCAGGCUGGAGGGGAUGGGUGUGUCCAGACAUAGUCCCCUGGCCUGGCUUCUUAUUUUAAAAUUCCCUGCCACUGGGUUCUCCGGACUCUUCCUUGGGGAGCUGGGACUGAGCACGAGGCUGUAGACAGAUCUGGAAACUUUGCAUCAUCGUGCAGAAGUACAGCCAGGCACCUGACUGGAGUGCUGCAUGCACAGUAUCAUAGAUGAUAGCUGAGAAGAACAUCUCCCUCUUCGGGGCUGAAAACCUGAGGUUAGAAGUAGAAGGCCGGCUCUCACUACUGUUCCCCAGAAGCUGAGAGCCGGCCCCAAAGCUGACUGGAGUCUCAAGUGCCUCCACCGGGAGGAGGCCAGGUUCCUGGUGGUAGGAAGCCCCCUGGCUCCUCUCGCCACUCUCCAUGGCAUCUCGGUGCUGCCACCGAGCUCAGCUGACACCAGCCAGGGAAGCCAUUCUAGUCUGCACUCUGAAGGCUUGCACAGCCUGCCCGGGGCUGGUCAGCAACCGAGCUGCCACGCCAGCUCUCCCCGUAGCUGGACCUCAAAGACCCAGGCAGGUGGACUGCGGGGGACAGUUGGGAAAGACCCAAGCCGAGAUCCCACCCAGCGCACCAAGCCUUCCGGAAGCAGCAGGUGGGAGGUUUGACCCAGAGAAGCCAAGGCCUUGCAUUCGAGGGGCAGCCUGUACCUCCCACCUCAGCCUCCCACUGUCGGGGCUGUGCUGAGAAAGACACCAUGAAAAGGAGGGCUGUGCGGUCAGCUGGAGCAAGUCUUCCUUCCACCCAUGGCCUGCACUUGAGCCACAGCUUGUGCGUGUGUAUGUGUGUGUGUGUGUGUGUGUGUGUAGCUGAGAGGCCAGUUCCUCUUGGGAUUGUUCACGUAACAUUAAGCUGGCCUCUGGGCCUUCUCCUCUCUACCUCCCCUGUGACCUUCCCCGGCCUCAGAGCUGUUCAUUCCCUUGGCCCCAGCCCUGCCCUUCACUGUCCUCUGUCCUGGGACCGGAACCCUGGGUCAGGCCCCUGCCUCCUACAUCUGUCCAGCACAUCGACAGGCUUCUUCCUGAGACGUCCUCAGGCUUUCUCAGCCAGAGAGCUGCCUUUAGAGUCCAACUGUUGUAUGUAUGUCACCCUCACUAGAAAUGUCCCAUAAUCAUGUGGGGAGAACAGGGCACCGGUGAUGGCUUUUUCUGCAGCAUUGGGUUGGGGGCUUCACUGUUCCCUUAGCCCCAGCCACGAGGAAAGAGAAUCGGGGGCUAUUGCCAGAAGGAGAGUAGAGCAAGCCUGGAAGGGCCAGUCUGAGAAACUGAGAAGGCCAGAGGGCUUAGGGCCAGAGUCAGUAUUUAUUUAGCACCACCUUCAAAUGUCAGGAUGAUUCCCUUUUUCUGCCCAUUUAAGAAUGGUUCUCUUCCCUAAGGUACAAGUUGGCAGGACCACCUCCCCCUACGUCUCCACCAUCCCUGGCAUGCGUCCACUCCGGAGCUGGGAGGGGCAGGGUGAGGAGAGGGUGCAUCCAGUGGCCUGGAGCGCCACAAUCGCUUCGUGCCUCCCGUCUCCUGGCCCAGGUGUCCCUGGGGACUCCUGCACAGCAUUGCCCCAAAUCCUGAUCCAAGGGCCAGCAUGGGGAGGAGAUGGUCGCAGGCCAAAUGCACUUUAUACAGAGAUUUUCUAUUGCUGAGAAGGUGUGUUUCUCCCACAGUUUUUUUGUGAAUAUUCAUGUGUUUCAUAAAUGUCUGAUCCUGUCUGA